AUGUCUAAGUACAUGCCGUAUUAAGGCGAAACCGCGAAUGGCUCAUUAAAUCANUCAUGGUUCCUUGGAUCGUACCUUACUACUUGGAUAACUGUGGCAAUUCUAGAGCUAAUACAUGCAGCAGAGCUCCGACCUUCGGGGACGAGCGCUUUUAUUAGACCAAAACCAAUCGGACCUCGUGUCCGUCUCUUGUGGUGACUCUGUAUAACUUUGGGCUGAUCGCACGGGCCUGUCCCGGCGACGUAUCUUUCAAGUGUCUGCCUUAUCAACUUUCGAUGGUAGGUUAUGCGCCUACCAUGGUCGUAACGGGUAACGGGGAAUCAGGGUUCGAUUCCGGAGAGGGAGCCUGAGAAACGGCUACCACAUCCAAGGAAGGCAGCAGGCGCGCAAAUUACCCACUCCCAGAACGGGGAGGUAGUGACGAAAAAUAACAAUACGGGACUCUUUUGAGACCCCGUAAUUGGAAUGAGUACACUCUAAAUCCUUUAACGAGGAUCCAUUGGAGGGUAAGUCUGGUGCCAGCAACCGCGGUAAUUCCAGCUCCAAUAGCGUAUAUUAAAGUUGUUGCGGUUAAAAAGCUCGUAGUUGGAUCUCAGUUCCAGACGGGUGGUCCGCCUACCGGUGGUUACUGCCUGUUCUGAACAGUCAGCCGGUUUCUCUUGAUGAUCUUCACCGGUUGUCUUGGGUGACCGGCAAGUUUACUUUGAAAAAAUUAGAGUGCUCAAAGCAGGCGUGACGCCUGAAUAAUGGUGCAUGGAAUAAUGGAAUAGGACCUCGGUUCUAUUUUGUUGGUUUUCGGAACACGAGGUAAUGAUUAAGAGGGACAGACGGGGGCAUUCGUAUUGCGACGCU
rnacentral:rRNA from 1 species